rnacentral:rRNA from 1 species
UACGUAGGGUGCAAGCGUUGUCCGGAUUUAUUGGGCGUAAAGAGCUCGUAGGCGGUUUGUCGCGUCUGCUGUGAAAACCUAAGGCUCAACCUUGGGCUUGCAGUGGGUACGGGCAGACUAGAGUGCGGUAGGGGUGACUGGAAUUCCUGGUGUAGCGGUGGAAUGCGCAGAUAUCAGGAGGAACACCGAUGGCGAAGGCAGGUCACUGGGCCGGAACUGACGCUGAGGAGCGAAAGCGUGGGGAGCAAACAGG